CAGUAACCUUCGCAGCGAACGAAUGGUUAAAUAUUCGAGUUUGUUAGGUUUAUUCGGAAUUUCAUCUCGUCUUUGGUUUAGUUUUACAAGAGUACUACCAUCUCAUGUUAAAUUAGUAGAGAUAUACGAUACUUUGAAUAAUUUGUAAGGUUUUAAUAAGUUUGUUACGAAAUUUCUGUCUUGAUAAAAAUAUUUUGUAAAGGUAGUCAAACAAUUGUAUUUUAAUCGUAACAAAAACAGUUUUCCGUUAGCUAUAACAUUGUUAAGAACUGAAAGUUGCGUAGUUCACCCGAGUAAUCGCCAUUUUCCGAGAGGGUUUAGUGAGAGGAACACAACACCAACCCUGCCAGAAUGUUUGCCGUCAAAAAUACAGUUAGUGCUCUUGCACGCGCUGGUUCUAUGAUGGUAGUACCCAAAAGGACGAGCAUAAUUUCCGGGCCACCUCAGGUCAAGGUCUCUAAAAUCGAGAAGGCUCUUCACUUUGCUGCGAUUUCGGCUGGAAUAGUAUCAUCCCAGGAUGGAUCCUUGUACACAUUAGUGACUACCGUGGUUCUUAGCUGGAAUUUUUAAUUAUGAUUGAAUACAUGUAUUUCAUAAAGCUUAUUCUGUAAAUACAUUGACAAGUAACUUAAAUAUAUUGAAAAAGUAAUUUAAA